rnacentral:rRNA from 1 species
GAUCAUGGCUCAGGAUGAACGCUAGCUACAAGCUUAACACAUGCAAGUCGAGGGGCAUCAGGAAGAAAGCUUGCUUUCUUUGCUGGCGACCGGCGCACGGGUGAGUAACACGUAUCCAACCUACCCUUUACUCGGGGAUAGCCUUUCGAAAGAAAGAUUAAUACCCGAUGGCAUAAUGAUUCCGCAUGGUUUCAUUAUUAAAGGAUUCCGGUAAAGGAUGGGGACGCGUUCCAUUAGGUUGUUGGUGAGGUAACGG